rnacentral:lncRNA from 1 species
GAAGAAGAGGAAGAGGAAGAUGAUGAAGAAGAUAUUAGCUUCUGUAAGCCGUAACUUUUCUCAUAAAUAUUGGAUGUUGCUGAACUCGGAAUCAUUGGGAUGAACUUUCAGAGAUCUGCACGUGACAAUUGCAACUUGUGUCUAGUCCUACGUUUUCAAGGUCAAAAAUUGACUUCAAAGUUUUAGUUGCAGUUCAUUGAUGAAUAUAUUCUUUUUUUGGUACUAUUAGCGGAAUGCCUUUGGAACUAGUCUAGGUAUUAAAAAUUUUCUAGGGUUAGUGUUGUUGGGGAUUGAUACAAAUAGCUAGCAUGACUAUAACUAGAUUAUUUUGUGACAUUAGUAUCAUAUAUUGAUCUUUUCCUGGCGUGAUUUCCAUGGUUCUUUUAGUGUUCAUAACUCUUGUUUUCGUUUUAUCUUAAUGCAUUCUUCUUUUGCUGAAAAAUGCAUUCUUCUUUAUAGAGAUUUUGCAGGCUCUGUAGGUUCAUGAACAGUGUCAAAGUAGCAACGAAGCAAAUGUUUCUGAAUAAAAUGGCUUUACAUUUUAAAAUUCUUAUCGAGGCAAUAAAUUUUAAGCUUGUAGCAUUAGUGGAUGAAUUUAAGUGCAAUGUUUGUAUCAGAGAACCUGCUUCCUCUAAAGAUUCAAUCGUUUCUUAACCCUUUGCUAUU